rnacentral:rRNA from 1 species
GGAUGUGAUCAUACCGGCACUAAAACACCGAAUCCCAUCUUAACUCUAAAGUUAAGCGUGCUUGGGUGAGAGUAGUACUAGGAUGGGUGACCUCCGGGGAAGUCCUCGUGUUGCGUCCC